rnacentral:rRNA from 1 species
UAGUCCAACACCGUAAACGAUGAAUGCCAGACGUCGGGCAGUAUACUGUUCGGUGUCACACCUAACGGAUUAAGCAUUCCGCCUGGGGAGUACGGUCGCAAGAUUAAAACUCAAAGGAAUCGACGGGGGCCCGCACAAGCGGUGGAGCAUGUGGUUUAAUUCGAAGCAACACGCAGAACCUUACCAACCCUUGACAUCCUGUGCUAUAUCCAGAGAUGGAUAGUUCCUUUCGGGGACGCAGUGACAGGUGCUGCAUGGCUGUCGUCAACUCGUGUCGUGAGAUGUUCGGUUAAGUCCGGCAACGAGCGCAACCCACGUCCUUAGUUGCCAGCAGUUCGGCUGGGCACUCUAAGGAAACUGCCCGUGAUAAGCGGGAGGAAGGUGUGGAUGACGUCAAGUCCUCAUAGCCCUUACGGGUUGGGCUACACACGUGCUACAAUGGUAGUGACAAUGGGUUAAAUCCCCGAAAAACUAUCUCAGUUCGGAUUGGGGUCUGCAACUCGACCCCA